UACGGGGGGGGCAAGCGUUGUUCGGAAUUACUGGGCGUAAAGGGCUCGUAGGCGGCCAACUAAGUCAGACGUGAAAUCCCCAGGCUCAACCUGGGAACUGCGUCUGAUACUGGAUGGCUUGAAUCCGGGAGAGGGAUGCAGAAUUCCAGGUGUAGCGGUGAAAUGCGUAGAUAUCGAGAGGAACACCUGCGGCGAAGGCGGGUUGCUGGGCUGACACUGACGCUGAUGCGCGAAAGCUAGGGGAGCGAACGGG
rnacentral:rRNA from 1 species